UCAAAUUUCUUUUAUCAUUUCUCUCACUUCUCACAUAUCACUUUUCACUUCCAUUUUCUCUCACCACGAGAAUCACUUUUUCUUCCUCUUGUUCUUUAUUUUCUUCUUCUCUUCCUCCUAUGUAAAAACCUAAAUCGAUAUUCUUCUUCAUUUUUCGAGUAAAAUCAAAUCCAUGUUUCAAAUGGUAGAAAAUUAGUAGUGAGAUUGUUCCUGCGAGAUUCCGAUUGUUAGGUUCGAAUCACGUGUUAUAUAACAUUAUUCUAUUUUUCUUUGUUUGCUUAGGAUUGUGUGUAGUUGAAGUUUAAAACUUAAUGAAAAUGAUAAUGAUGGUAUUGUCUUUGUUGGUUUGUUAUAUUAUUAUUAUUAUUAUUUUGUCGAUGGUGAUUGUUGUUUGUUGAUUUCUUGUUGGUGUGGUAAAAGGUUGAUGAGGGAAAUAGUGGUGUAGGUUUGAAUGAUGAUGAUAUCUUGAAGAUGGUGAGUUAUUAUUAUGUAUUUGAAUCAUAUGUUUUUGAUUUGUUGUUUUUUACAGCGAUGUGCGGUUUCACGAUAGUAUAUAUGUGAUGGCGACAAUCAUGACUUUCUAAAGCACUUAUUCACAUAUUAUCAACAAGCACGAAUGUUUACAAAUGAGUUAAGUUUUCAAUUUUCAACCAACUCAAGGUGUGUCCAUUCAUUACUACUUGUCGCCAUAAUAGAAGCAGAAGAGAUAUCUGGUGCAAAUCCUUUUGAAGUUUUGAACUUGGGUAUGUUGAAUUGUAUUAGUGUGUCAAAGUGUCAAAGCAUGUUGUUUCAUACAUGAUUUCGACUUAAGCCUAUUUUUAGUAGUGUUGA